AGUGGUAUUAAGUAGAGAAGAAAAAAGAAUAAAAAAUAAAAUAAAAUGAAAUAAUAAAUAGUUUCUCAACAGUCAAGACAAGGCUGUUCAAGUAAUUACUUCUCAUAGUGUCUGUUUCACUUCUACAGGUUUCCUUUUAGGUGCUCUGUUAGUUGUCACAGAUCAGGGAGAACAUAUGAUAUUUGUCCCUUUGGGACUGGCUUAUUUCACUAAGUAUGAUAUUUUCCAGAUUCAUCCACUUAGCUGUAAAUGACUGGAUUUCAUUUUUAACUGCUGUGUAGUAUUCCGUAGAGUACAUAUCCCAUAGUUUCUUUAUCCAGUCUUCUGUUGAUGGACAUUUAGGUUGAUUCCAGGUCUUGGCUAUUGUGAAUUGAGCUGCAAUAAACAUGGGGGUGCAGAUGACUCUUAUUUUACUGAUUUCAUUUCCUUUGGGUAAAUUCCCAGGAGUGGGAUGGCUGGGUCAUGUGGUAGGGCUAUAUUUAGAUUUCUGAGGUAUCUCCAACUGUCUUCCAUAGUGGCUUUACCGGUUUGCAUUCCCACCAACAGUGAAUUAGGGUACCUUUUCUCCCACAUCAUUGCCAGCAUUUGUUGUUUGUUGAUUUCUGUAUGUGAGCCAUUCUAACUGGGGUGAGGUGAAACCUCAUUGUGGUUUUGAUUUGCAUCUACCUGAGGCUAAUGAUCCUGAGCAUUUUGACAUGUGUCUGUAGGCCAUUUGAAUUUCCUUUUUUGAGAAAUGUCUAAUUAAGUCCUUUGCCCAUUUCUUGACUGGGUUGUUUGCUUUGCUAUUGUUGAGUUUUUUUGAUCGCUUUAUAUAUUCUUGUAACUAUAAUUUUAACAGGGUUUAUAAUAGUAGAUUGAGUGUUGUAUAACUUAUUUAGUCACUUCUCUCUUGUUGGAUAUAUAGGUUUCUUCUGCUUUUUUACUGUUCUUUGUGCAUAUAAUUUUUCCAUAUUUUAGGAAUAUUUUUGGGAUACAAUUUCAUAAGUUGAGAAUAAAGCUAUGAGAACACUAUGAUGCUUGAUGCUGUUUCAUAUUCAUAUGACCUAAUUGUUUUUAAAAAUGACUAGAGUGGGCCAAUGCUGUGGCAUAGCAGGUAAAGCUGCUGUCUGCAGUGCUGGCAUCCCAUGUGGGCCUGGGUUCAAGUCCCAGCUGCUCUACUUCUGAUCCAGCUCCCUGCUAAUGGCAUGGGAAAAGCAGUGGAGGAUGGUCCAAGCACUUGGAACGCUGCCACCCACCUGGAAGAUCCAGAUGAAGCUUCUGGCUCUUGGCUUUGACCUGGCCCAGCCCUGGCCGUUUCAGCCACUUGGGAAGUGAACUGGAGGAUGGGAGGUUUCUGUCUCUUCCUCUCUCUCUCUGUUGCCCUGACUUUCAAAUAAAUAAAUAAAUAUUUAAUAAAUAAAUCUUUUAAAAAUGACUAGAAAAUUAUAGUGCUGUUACUGAUAAUACAUUGCCAACUUUGAAUAAUAUUAAUCAAAAAUCUUUCUCGACUUCACAGGAAAAAGUACCUGUGCAAUUUGAAGGAAGGACUUAUUCAUUUAAAGAUGUAUUUAUUUGAAAGGCAGGGUGAUAGAGAGGAGGAAGUGGGGGGAAGAGAGAGAGAGAAAAAGAGAGAGAGAGCAAGUGAGUGAGCGAUCUAACUUCUAUUUGCUUGUUCACUUCCCAAAUGACCACAAUGGCUGGUGCUGGUCCAAGUUGAAGCCAGGAGCCCAGAGCUCCUUUGGGUCUUCCACGUGGGUGACAGGGACCCCAAGCACUGUGCCAUCUUCCACUUCAUUGGCAGGGAGAGCUGCAUCAGGAGUGGAGCAGCAGGGCCAUGAACCAGGGCUAUGAUGUGGGGUGCUGUCAUUGCAGGUGGCGGCUCCAUCCACUGUGCCGGCUUUCCGCUUUGCGAUAUCUAGAGAGUAAAUAUGGAUCCCGAGUAGACCUGGAAUAUCCCAAAUGCACUUUCCCUAGACUGCGGCUCUUCAUUGUGACUGCAGCCUGCCCCAAAUCUAAGAAUUCAAGCGCACAUCUUCUGAUGACACCGAGACUUAAUUGGAUCACGCUGUAAUUGGAAAGGUUAGGAGAGUCAUCCUGGUGCUAAUGCGGAGGCAAUGGCUCGGCUGUUCGGUUAACAGCCUCGUCUUUUCUUAUUUUAGGCAACAGCACUUGUGCUUGCAGAAUCACAUCUUCAGGGCAAGCAUAUUGCAUUCAAUCUGUCGUGUGAAUUGUCUUCAGUUGGAGAAGGCCACUGUCUUCUUUCUCCUCUGUACUCACCUGCUGUAGCAUUGCAUGUGACGUAACAAAGGCAAAGGGCAGGGGACACAUUCCGAUCCCAGAAAUGGACUAAGACACGGUGACAGCAAACCCCCCUGCACACAGACUCGCUCACCAGGCUGGGUAGGGCUGGACCAGGCCACGGAGUGGGGAUUCCUGUCAGUGCCUGCACCUGAGGAUGCCAGCUCUGGGGCCUCAGGUCACCCUUAGGAGCUGAGAGGAACGCAGCGUGGAAGUGGGAGUGUCGCCCAGCCUGUGGCCCUCUGCUUGACCUGACACAAAGGCUCUCGGUAUGACUGACAUUUUACCCCUCCUAGUCCUGUUAAAAUGUAUUUUACAUGAUAUGUGUGUGUAUAUAUAUAUAUAUAUUAUACAUAAAUGAUAAAGCAUGUAGGUUCCAUUCUGCAAAUGUUUCUUUUUAAAUGUCUUCUUCUAUUUUUCUCUAAAUCCCAUCCACUUAAGAAAAUUUAUGACCAAACCUAACAAAUUAUUUUUGUUGCCACGAAUGGUAACUCCUCUUGUUUCUGUUCUGAAGAUGGGGUGGGCAGCACAGAGUUGUCACGGAGAAUCAAAUCAAACAGCUUGUCUCCAGGAGCCCUGAAGACUGUCCCAAAUGCCAGCACUCUGGGGUUCAGCGGGCAAACAGAAGCUCUGACUUUUGGAAACUGAUCUACUCUUUCGUUGGCUGAAAUAAGGACAAUUAUGAGAGUGACACAGAUUAAAACAACAAUAUCAUUAUUUGAGGGAGGGAGAGAGAGAGAACUAUCUCCCAACUGUAGGUUCCCUCCCCACAUGCCCACAACAGCUGGGGCUGGCCAGGCUGAAACCAGGAUCCCGGAACUGCGCCCUGGUCUUCCAUGUGGCUGGCAGGAAACCCAAGCACUUGGACCAUCACCUGCUACCUACCACGGUGUGUGUUAGCAGGGAGCUGGAAUCAGAAGGGGAGCCGGAGCCGGCACCGUGGCUCACUAGGUUAAUCCUCCGCCUUGCGGCGCCGGCACCCCGGGUUCUAGUCCCGGUCGGGGCACUGGAUUCUGUCCCGGUUGCCCCUCUUCCAGGCCGGCUCUCUGCUGUGGCCAGGGAGUGCAGUGGAGGAUGGCCUAAGUACUUGGGCCCUGCACCUGCAUAGGAGACCAGGAUAAGUACCUGGCUCCUGCCUUUGGAUCAGCGUGGUGUGCCGGCCUCGGUGGCCAUUGGAGGGUGACCCAAUGGCAAAAGGUCUUUCUCUCUGUCUCUCUCUCUCUCAUUGUCCACUCUGCCUGUCAAAAAAAAAGGGGGGGGAGCCGGACCUGAGCCCAGGCACUUGGAUAUGGUAUGUGUGUGUCCCAAGUGGCCUCUUAUCCACUGUGCCAGGCAUUACCAAAGAAUGAUACUUCUGCAUAGAAUUUAAAGUGUAAGUGACUGCAUGUUUCUGAGUGUGUGUGUGGCAGGGAGGGCUGCCAGUCCUGAAGUCAGUUAUGCAGCCUGGGGACAGAGACGCACACACAGGAAGUCAGAGGUUACAGCGCAUCUCACCACGCGGACAGCCACUCAGAGGCAGGAAUGUCUGCCCCCUUCUCAGGUCCCUGCAGGAAGGAGCCACGGGGGGAGGGCGGGGGUGGUUCUGGAACAUGUCUGUGACCCCCCAAGUCCCGCCCCCAGCGGCAGCCAGUCUAUGAGCAGCUGCACGCAGCCUGGGCUCCACGUGCUUUAGGCCUGGCCAGCGCCCCCGAAGUUAUGCCUAGGGCUUAGGUUUACUUUUUGCUCCGUGGCUGACGAAGUCCCAGACGGACCCCGGGAAGUUUUCGCCACAGCCCAUUUCAAACCCACCCAACUGCCUGUGGCAGCCGAGGG